GGCCAGUCUGUUUGUCCUUCCUGUCUGGCGUUUUCUGGUUCUGCUUUUGGAUCCCUUCCAGACCCGCUGGUGUCCUUUGGAGCCAGGCUGGGUACAACCUCAGGGAACGAACUUCAAAAUGGGGGACUGGACACAUUUGAAAGACCAACUACAUGAUUGGAUGGAAACACUCAGCACCCCAGCCUCUGGGGAGAGGAACGAGUCUGCCUGGAGAUUGAGUUCAGUCAUAUGGCCAAUGACUUAAGUGAAGCCCUGAUUAAACUCCUGGAGAAGCUCCUGGGAGCUUCGUGGUGGGGGACAAAAGCUACUGUAUGGGCAGUCCUCCCAAACCUUGCCCUAUGGAUGCCUUCAUCUGGCUCUUUACUGCUAUCCUUUACAAUAAAAUGUGAAAUGACAAAACUAAAACAAUUUAGUAACGA